rnacentral:lncRNA from 1 species
CUCUUCGGGGACGCACGGUUGGAAGUUGUACCGUGACGUGAUGGUCAGAUCGGAUGAUAGAAUUUUGGUGCGUAACAAUUCCAACUUUUGCUUCUGUGCCCUUCAAGUGUAUUUUAUCCGUGCCCCAGUUUUGCAGAUGAGGAGACUCGGACUUGUAAGUAACUUUCUGUAGGUCUUUGCUGGGUCCUAGACUGGAUCGAAACCCAAAUAUUCUGACCCCAACUGCAGGAUUUUUCCACUGCACCUGGCUGCCUCCGCCCUGGCCCCAGAUUGGCUCCUCCAGAAACAGACUAGCCCGGCCCUUUGCCCUGCUGGGCCCUCCUGGGAGAGCGCUUUUCACAACAUUGGCUGGGAUGAGGGUCUGGAGGGCCCGGAACGGAGCCUGCCUUCUCCUUCUCAGUCACGCUUGGCCCAGGCUGCCCCGGACCGGGCCACAUCCUUGGCCGCCCCGCACCUGACGUGAGAAGAGGCUACGUAUCAUAGAUUCCUCCAUCAGUAGUAAGGAGCCUGAGUUUCUGUCUCAGGUCAGCUUGUGUGGCUUUGAAUGAGAGGCUCUGGUCUGCAGUUUUCACAUCUGCAUCGUCUAAAGGCAAGGGCACAGACUUUACUGCCUGGUAGACAUGGGGUAGGCCCUCCUUUAUUGGCAGUGUGACCCUGGGCAAAUUACUUGUCUUAAUCUCCAAUUCCACACCUGUGAAACCCCACCUCCAAGGUUGUGGGAACCCAAAAGAAUGUAUGUAAAGCACCUGUUGCAUUGUAGGAAUCUACUUAAUAUUACUGUAGGAGGUUGAACUAAAUGGCUCUUGAGGUCUCCUCGGUUACUCCCAUUCUCCAUGUCACCAAGAGGUCUUGUCUGGGUAGUUUCAACUCCUUACCCAGCUUCUUUCUAAGUCCACUCUAUGCAGGGCAGGGCUGGAAUAGCAAGGUCAGAUGAUGUCAUGGCAUGCCAACCUGACUCUGAAUGGCAGUUCAUGGCACCCUGAACUGAAAGUGAGGGAACAGGAAGGAAAAGGCUAGCCCAGGGAAACUGCGGAGCACUUUACUCGGACUACACCUACCUUUCCUUCCCCAGGGGGCUGCCAGGAAACAGUUGUCACACAGCUGGAGUGGGACCCCCAGAGGCACUUAGUGGUCACCAGGCAGGUGGGUAUUUGAACCACCCAGAGCAGAACAGGCAGCUUCUUCAAUAUUUCCAGGGCCAAUGGCCCCAAAAGGGCUCAUUCCAAGAUCGAAAUAAUCAUCUGAGUCUGAAAUAGCUCUGCCUAUGUCCUGUGGAAGUUUCUCCUGGUUUGUGGAGGUGCCUUUCCUUAUAGUCAUCUUUCUGCAGACAUAAGCAAACCCAGUGUUGUUCUUUUCACAGAAACCUCCCCAGCAUUAAGGCAAGAAAGGUG